CCUACGGGGGGCUGCAGUGAGGAAUAUUGGACAAUGGAUGGAAAUCUGAUCCAGCCAUGCCGCGUGCAGGAAGACGGCCCUAUGGGUUGUAAACUGCUUUUGUGUGGGAGCAAUAAGGUCUAUGCGUAGACUGAUGAGAGUACCAUACGAAUAAGCAUCGGCUAACUCCGUGCCAGCAGCCGCGGUAAUACGGGGGAUGCAAGCGUUAUCCGGAUUUAUGGGGGUUAAAGGGUUUUGAUGCGGCAGGAGAGAAAUAUUUCAGCUUAACUGGAAGGGUGCCGUUGAUACUGUCAGGCUUGAAUAUGGUUGCUGUGGGUGGAAUGUGUGGUGUAGCGGUGAAAUGCUUAGAUAUCACACAGAAUAUCGAUUGCGAAGGCAGCUCACAAAGCCAUUAUUGACGCUGAUGCACGAAAGUGUGGGGAUCAAACAGGAUUAGAUACCCCUGUAGUC
rnacentral:rRNA from 1 species